UCAGACCAAUAAAGUAAAUAAAUACAGUAAUGUCAGUUCAAUAAAAAUUAUGAUUACUUCCUGAUUAAAGGUUGGCAUUUCCAAAAGUAAUUAAUGAUCUGCCAAACGAGCCUCAGUUUAACACAUACUCCAACUCAUUGAAUAUGACUGUAUCCACUUUCCACAGACAAAUAUUUCGAUUAUGUAUUCCAGCCACAGAUUUCCUCAUUGGCACUAAGAGUUUUUGGGACUUGUACUUUGAAGGACGGCAUAUUCAGCAGAAUAAGUAAGGCGUUAUCCUGUCGGUGAUAGGCUGGCCCAGGCCAGUUGUGACUACAAUGUAGUAGCUUACCACCAUCACUGUGCGAAUAUGCAGAUGAUUGGGUGAAUUUGGUGUCCUCUGGACUUGAUAAAGUGCAAUACAAGCACAGACCAUUUAUCGUCCUUGUAAUUCUCUCUCCCAUAAAAGUUUGUGAGUGAAUCAACGAGUAAAAGAGACAAUUGUGACUUAUAAAAGACGCUAACGUUGGAUUUCCAUUUAUUUAUUCUAAAACUUGUCUGACUUCCAUCUUUUUGCGCUGCUCUUUCACAAAAUUAUCCCAGGCUGUGUAAUGUGGGAAAGUGUUAUCACUCCUUGCUCAUCACUUAUUAACUUUUAGGUUGAGGCUGUAGUUAUAAAAGAUUAGAUUCUUUGAGCGGAGAGUGAAACGUGUUUGGCAGCACUGCUGUGUGAGGCAGAAGCUUGAGGAGGAGUGGUGGGUAAGUAGGCGACUCAUUGUACAAGCAAGCGUUUAGGCACCCUGAGUGGUUGCCACAGGAAUUCAAAGGAUGUCUCAAACGUGCAUGAAAGAAUCAAAGUAAUCCUCUGGGUAUGUUUUUAUGUUUUGAUGAGGGAAUGGUAUUAAAAAUAUAUAUCAAGCUCAAAAGUUGUAUUUACGCAAUAUCUCUGAUCUAACAAAUACGAUUCCUUUCAAUUCCACGUAAAUCUCUGAAGUCCCAAUUAUUUGAAAAUGUGUUUUAUUUUUAGCUUAGCUUUUUUUUCCUUUUUGUUUUGCUCAUACAGUUUUUCAUCACAUUUUAUCUCCUUCCUGGCUGUUGUUUGUGUUCAGCAUACAAUGAGACCAUGAAUGGUGUAGACAUAGGUGGCAGUGUGGGAGGUUUGUUUUAUUUUAAUAAAGGUUAUGAUCAUGUCUCACAGCAACAGCUGUGCCCCCAAGGUUGUUUUACUCUCUCAAACAGACUACUUUAAUCUACAUCAUAAACUACACAUUAUUCCCUCUUAGAACCAAACUCUUAAAAAUUGAAAAUACAACAAUGGCUUAAGUGCGGUAGUGACUGUCACUCUGUGGUGCACAGGAGAUUUUGAGCUCAUCAAACUGAGAUCGUUGGUCUCGAGCCUGAACAAAAAAGGUAAAUGAUAAAAACAGAGAAUUGUCAUUCAUAUCUUUUCCAGCUUUAUUUUAGGUAUAAACGUCAAUGAAUAUUUGUGCUUAGUUUAGCUUAUUACAGCGCUUAACAUUGAACUGUGACUAAAGAGAUUUGAUGUCAUUAUACUGUAACUAUUACCAAUAGGUGUAAUAGAGAGCAAACACAGCAGUCAUGAUGUGUAUGUUAUUUUGUGUAGUUGACACAGAAUUCGCUGACAGAACAUUUUGCCUGCUCAAAAUGGCUCCAUUUAGAGUCUCAUUAAAGAGCUUAUUUUGACAAAACAGGGUUGUUCUUAUUUUAAGACAAAGGCAGUGAAUCCCUGACAGGCUGCUUGUAGUGCAUUCCUUUAAAAAUCUGAGUAAACUCUACAAAUUUUUCUGAGGAACUGCUUACUUUAAAUAAGCAGGAGGUUGCAAAAGUGAAGUAUUGCAGAAAAUUAAAGGAGGCUGUGCUUAAUGGAUCUCAAAUCUCUUAAGUGGAAAUCAAAACCAGAACUUGGCUAAGCUUCUACUUGAUCAAAGCUUAGCCAAGCUAUUGGCAAUAAGUCGGUGCUAAAUCCUAUCAAUGAAAAAAUAACCUAAUGCGCUGAAUAUGUUACAGUUUUCGAGAAAACAUUGAAUGGUUUGAAGAGAAAUGGUGACUGUUUUUUGGACUGAUAGAAGUGAUGCUGCAGGUGUAGACAGUGUAUCAUACGAGCUGAAUUCAAACCAGAGUACAUGUAUCAUUGUGCUACUAUGGGAAUGUUUCUCACACUGUGGUGUCUGGCCAAUUCACGCAGUAGGGAUCAUGGAUAAGUCUGAAUAUUUCAGAAUACCAGAAGAGGUCAUGUUGUCUCAUGCCAAAAUGUAAAUGCCCUAGAAAGUUGUGUUUCACCAAAAGAUCAACCCAAAUCACACCACUAGGCAUCUUAGAACCAAAUCAGCAUGUUAAAAGUGACCAUCCCCAUCACUGGACGUAAUACAACAAAGAAUUCGGGGCAGGAUAUUAAACAUGCUGUUUCUGAGGUAAAACCAAGAAAAGCAGACAAUUUGUGAAACUGUUUGUCAUUCACCCUCGGCUGGAAGAGAGUUGCUCACUGUAUGACAUCAGGAAAAUCUCUUUUUGAUAUUACAGCUCCAGAUAUUGAUUAGGAAUAAUUCACAUUUUCCUGGCAAUUUCCUUUCUUUCCCAUCAUCAUGACGUCCCCACAAUUCAACAUAUUUCCAUCUAAAUAUUAGCCCAUAUGUUCAAAGAGAAGCUACAUUUUCAAGCAUUUUCUGUCUAGUUCAUAAUGUACAAUGCAGACACUGCAAUUUUCAAACCAUCUAUUAUUUACUUUCUGUAGCUCAAUAAUAAAUUUCAUAAUUUCCCUCACAUUUUGUUGUGGGAAAAAUGUGCAGUGUUUUCACACACUAUAAAUAAGGAUAUUGUGACUUACAAAUUCAAGAAUACUGAAUAUUUUAAGCAAUCUUGAUAUCUUGCUGGUCACAGAAUGAUACCUUGUCAAUACUUGUUUCUUUUUUGCUUUGGAAAGUGGAGUUAUAAUGCAACAUAAAAAGUUAUUCAGCAAAUUUCUACAGUCCCAGUCCUGUUUAUUGAAACGGAGAAUGAGAACAGUUUAUGUUUUAGAUUAUUUUGAUGUUAUUUUGAUGAGUUUACUAGUACCAAAGAGUAUUUUUCUUCUUUUUCGAGAACAAAAAUUGUUUGAAGGGCUGAAAUUCAGUCAAGCUAUGGAGUCCAUCAUCUCGUUACUGUGAUACUCCUGGCUUUGCUCCUCUCCCAAAAGAGGGACAGCAGUCCUGUACAAGCCAUCUGUGACUACAUGUUCCCUGUUUUUACUUUGGCCGACUCCAGAGACCUCCGUGAAAAAGAAGAAAGCUUUCAGGCAGAGCAGGAACGUUCCUGGAGUGACUCAUCUAAAACACAGUCAGUGUUUCCUCCCUGAAGUGUCUGAAUAUCGACUAGGCCUCAGUGACACCACACCUGCUGGAAAUUUCAGGUAUUUGACUACAAGCAGAAUGCUGAUUACAAGAGGAGAGAGGCAGCAGAUGAAUCAAAAUCUCACAGCCUUCUGUUUUUCAUCUGCUAUUAUGGUUGCAGAGUUGGAAGACUUUCUUCUGAAGAUCUUAUCCCUGAGGGGACCCGGCCCUUUGCAGACAUUUCUAACAUUUUGGAAAUUACUACGAUUGAGAAGAUUCUACUUUUAGUAUUAUAAUGACCUUCAAUCAUCAGUGAAAAGAACUAAAACAUGUUCAAGCGGCUUAAUAUAAAAAAAUACAUUAAAUGAACAGUGAAUAAAGUGCUAAAUAUUUAAAUCACAGUGAUUGAUAAUUGUCCUGUGUAGACUUCUAGUUUUUUCUGAUUAAUGUCAGAGUACCUGAGAGCUCUGUGUUGUUCUUUUAUCUUUUAUAUAUUGAUUUUAUUGUGAUUAUUGCGUUUUUGUAUGUUGUCAUCUAUAAAAGAAGACAAGCUUAAGUAGCACCCAGCAACAACUCCUAAAGUAAAAUGCCCACAAGUCAAAACAGCCAAAAUCUUAAUGAGUCUGGCCAGAUAGAGAAGGAAUUUCUGCAAAAUAAAAGAAUAAUAAAGGUA